UACGUAGGGUGCGAGCGUUAAUCGGAAUUACUGGGCGUAAAGCGUGCGUAGGCGGUUCGUUAUGUCUGCUGUGAAAUCCCCGGGCUCAACCUGGGAAUGGCAGUGGAAACUGGCGGGCUUGAGUGUGGCAGAGGGGGGUGGAAUUCCCGGUGUAGCGGUGAAAUGCGUAGAGAUCGGGAGGAACACCAGUGGCGAAGGCGGCUACCUGGACCAGCACUGACACUCAGGCACGAAAGCGUGGGGAGCAAACAGG
rnacentral:rRNA from 1 species